rnacentral:misc_RNA from 1 species
GUGAAUCAUCGAAUUUUUGAACGCAUAUUGCACUCUCUGGUAUUCCGGAGAGUAUGCCUGUUUGAGGGUAAUUAAAAAGAAUCUGUAACCAAUUUUUUUUGGUCAAAGGAAAUGAGCUCUUCGCGUUUAUAGCGGUAGCUUUAAAUAAAUUGUCAGGUCUCAUGUUAGUUGAUACGCAUAGUA